AGCGAACGCUGGCGGCAGGCCUAACACAUGCAAGUCGAGCGGCCGUAGCAAUACGGCAGCGGCAGACGGGAUAGUAACACGUGGGAACGCGUCCCUUCGGUUCGGAAACUAACUCAGGGAAACUUGAGCUAAUACCGGAUACGCCUUACGGGAAGAUUAUUGCCGAAGGAACGGCCCGCGUCGGAUUAGCUAGUUGGUGAGGUAAUGGCUCACCAAGGCGACGAUCCGUAGCUGGUCNG
rnacentral:rRNA from 1 species